UACGUAGGGUGCAAGCGUUGUCCGGAAUUAUUGGGCGUAAAGAGCUCGUAGGCGGCUUGUCGCGUCGACUGUGAAAACUGGAGGCUCAACCUCCAGCCUGCAGUGGGUACGGGCAAACUAGAGUGCGGUAGGGGAGAUUGGAAUUCCUGGUGUAGCGGUGGAAUGCGCAGAUAUCAGGAGGAACACCGGUGGCGAAGGCGGUUCUCUGGGCAACUACUGACGCUGAGGAGCGAAAGCGUGGGGAGCGAACAGG
rnacentral:rRNA from 1 species